CAGCAGCCGCGGUAAUACGUAGGGUGCAAGCGUUACUCGGAAUUACUGGGCGUAAAGCGUGCGUAGGUGGUGGUUUAAGUCCGUUGUGAAAGCCCUGGGCUCAACCUGGGAAUUGCAGUGGAUACUGGCAAGCUAGAGUACGGUAGAGGAUGGUGGAAUUCCCGGUGUAGCGGUGAAAUGCGUAGAGAUCGGGAGGAACACCCGUGGCGAAGGCGGCCAUCUGGACCAGUACUGACGCUGAGGCACGAAAGCGUGGGGAGCAAACAGGAUUAGAUACCCUGGUAGUCCACGCCCUAAACGAUGCGAACUGGAUGUUGGGCACACUUAGGUGCUCAGUGUCGAAGCUAACGCGUUAAGUUCGCCGCCUGGGGAGUACGGUCGCAAGACUGAAACUCAAAG
rnacentral:rRNA from 1 species